rnacentral:rRNA from 1 species
UACGUAGGGUGCAAGCGUUAAUCGGAAUUACUGGGCGUAAAGCGCGCGUAGGCGGUUUGUUAAGUCGGAUGUGAAAGCCCCGGGCUCAACCUGGGAACUGCAUACGAUACUGGCAAGCUAGAGUGCAAUAGAGGGGGGGGUAGAAUUCCAGGUGUAGCGGUGAAAUGCGUAGAUAUCUGGAGGAAUACCGAUGGCGAAGGCAAUCCCCUGGGCCUGUACUGACGCUCAUGCACGAAAGCGUGGGGAGCAAACAGG